GCGCUCGUAGCUCAGUUGGAUAGAGCAACGGACUUCUAAUCCGUAGGUCGCUGGUUCGAAUCCAGCCGGGCGUA
rnacentral:tRNA from 1 species